GGCGAGUAGAAAAAGCUUUACCUUCCACAGUCGUACCGAUCGAAGAGCUGAAAACUGCAGGAGAGGAAAAAAAAGCAACUGAUUUUGCAUCAUGAACAAGGGAAUUCUUAUCUUGUUGAUGUUGGUUGCCGUUUGCGCCGUGAUAACAAUGGCGCAAAUUGAAUACGCUGAACUACCGCAAGCGGAAUUCGACUUGGACGGCGACGCAAGCCGCCGCGCUCGUUACUAUCGGCCACAACGGAGACGCGGCAGCCGUUUCCCCGGUUGGCUUUUCGGUUGAAAAAAAAAAGUGGACGAAAUGAAUCAUCAUCGGCAGCCUUGUUAUUGGAUUCCGAUUCAUCCGGACGGAAUUAUUUCUUUAAAAAUGGGGUGUACUUCUUUCCUUUUGUUUGUUCGUGUGUCCAUAUCCAUCGUUGAGAUAACCAAUAUAUUUGGUGAACGUUUAA